rnacentral:rRNA from 1 species
GAUGAACGCUAGCUACAGGCUUAACACAUGCAAGUCGAGGGGCAGCAUGAACUUAGCUUGCUAAGUUUGAUGGCGACCGGCGCACGGGUGAGUAACACGUAUCCAACCUGCCGAUGACUCGGGGAUAGCCUUUCGAAAGAAAGAUUAAUACCCGAUGGCAUAGUUCUUCCGCAUGGUAGAACUAUUAAAGAAUUUCGGUCAUCGAUGGGGAUGCGUUCCAUUAGGUUGUUGGCGGGGUAACGGCCCACCAAGCCUUCGAUGGAUAGGGGUUCUGAGAGGAAGGUCCCCCACAUUGGAACUGAGACACGGUCCAAACUCCUACGGGAGGCAGCAGUGAGGAAUAUUGGUAAAUGGACGAGAGUCUGAACCAGCCAAGUAGCGUGAAGGAUGACUGCCCUAUGGGUUGUAAACUUCUUUUAUACGGGAAUAAAGUGAGGCACGUGUGCCUUUUUGUAUGUACCGUAUGAAUAAGGAGCGGCUAACUCCGUG